rnacentral:misc_RNA from 1 species
CCCUAGCCCCGAUACUAGCGGUAUCUCCCGAUUUAGAAAAACAAGGCUUUUUUAGCCGUAGUUUUUGUUAAUCGGGAAUUUAGCCGAAAGCGGGAUUAGCU